rnacentral:lncRNA from 1 species
GAAUACAUUUUGUCUUGGGGCGUUCUAGUUCUCAAACAACUUCCCGCCAGGCCUCAGCUGGAGCCCCUGCCUACUAACCUUGGAUUUAUUUUUCUACAAGUUCCUUCAUUCUUAAAGGGGCAGGAAGUGCUAGCUCAAGAGUUCUGAAUUUUAGGCCUAGAUCGUGUCACUAGCCACGUGGGGCACGCAAGAUAAAUCACAAUUUUUGGAUCCAGCUUAUUAUUGUAAAAAGGAAGAAACUGGGCUUGACUAGAAUUGUCCCUAAGGCUGAAGCCCUUUAGAAGUCCUAAGCACUGAAAAUUCAGAUGCAGAAAGGCCAUCUCCAGAUCAAGAGGAAAUUAACCCAAGAUUGGUUAUAUGGGAUUAGAUCUCUGGAAGAAGAGCGCCCAUCACCUGCAG